rnacentral:rRNA from 1 species
UCUGGUGUCCGAGUCGUAAAGGAACCACACCAUCCAUUCCGAUCUUGAUGGUUAAACUCUACUGCGGUGACGAUACUAUAGGGGAGGUCUUGCGGGAAAAUAGUUCGACACCAGAA